rnacentral:lncRNA from 1 species
UUUUGAUCAGUUAUUCCAAAUGAUAGUAAGAUCAUUGUGAUGAAAUGAUUAGACAGUCACCUCAGAUGUAAUUUGUGAAUUGCAUUUUGAAAUGGUAAUACUUUGAUGUUUAGUUGGAAUGACUUUCAAUCAAAAAAAAAAAAAAUACUGUGUAUUGUAUCCAAGCAAUUGGGGAAAAAGUCUGGACUUAUGAAAAAUAUGCACUUUGAUAGUCGUUGAUGAAUCUAGAGAUUUACAUCGAGAUUUUAUCAGUGAUUUUAAAACUGUAUUAAUGAAAACAGAGACACCUAGAGAGGGCAUCCAGAAAUAAGCAACAGACAACAGAGAAGAACUACAAGCCCCAUGACCCUCCGCGGUUCCGCCUACAGCAAGACGCAUGUGCGUCUGACGUCACAUGCUGGCUUGUUUUGGCCGUUUGUUUCGAUAUCCGGCGAUCAUACGCUUUCGAUGUGCUGGAUAUUGUGACUGAGAGGUUCCUGUGUGUGUGCAUGGGUGUUUGUGGGAGAGAGAAGGUGGACGACUCAGGGAGUCUGUGUGUCUUAUCAUGGCUGACGGGUCCAGUGAUGAUGAUGUCAUCCACCUGGCUAGUUUCAACACCCAUCGCAGUCGAGCUAAAAGAGUUAGGACGAAGACGUCCUACAUAACCAUAAUCCUCAUCGUCGGAUUCUGAUGACGAACCUGUCAGAUUCGUACCAAAUGUCCCUGUCGUGGUCAAGGAUGAUGAAGAGGAGGAGGAUGUGCGCAUCUUAGAGGUAACUGGAGAUGCGUUCCAAUUCACAGAGUCCCUGUGUAGUAUUCAUAUCUCCCCACACACUUAGCAAUGCAUAUCUGCGGAAUUCAUGAAUUUGAUAAUGUAGCUUAGUGAUAAGAGUCAACAGGGACCUGGCGAUAUGGUUUUAUAACUGUAUAUAGUUAACAGUGUAAUGAUAUUGCAUGAUAGUUUUUCGAAACUGUGAAUUCAUCGAAAAACACGUGCAAAGAUUGCUUCUGCAUUUGAUUUGGUACUUUGCACAGUUGUUAUUCCUGUUUGGUUUGAAUUUUGUUUGAAUUUGAUUUUAAUUUUGUCAGACAUCACAUCUUUAAAUAAGCAGCUGAAGAUGGACUUAAACACACACACUCACAAAAAAUUUUUUUUUCUCUGUAGUUAACCUUUAUAAAUUUUGUAUAUGGCAAAUAUGCUAACAAUGACAGUUAAAAAACAACAACAACAAAAAAACCUAGUGUUUUUUCUUUUUUCUUUUUGUCUCAAGUUUGCUUGCCUGUAACCCAAGAAGUAUUAAAGAUAUCUUAAUAUCCUUUUAGAUUCUGGUCCUUAACAAAUUUUCCUUUUGGUAUCUUCAUUUUAAAGGCCCUUAAUGGUUAAAUCCCAGAGAUAUAAAGAUCUCAAAGCAGCUUCAUGAGUAAAUUGGUAAAUAGUUCACAUUUUCAGUGGUCAAAAACCAAAUGUGGUUCACUUUGCAUACAGCUGAUACUUUUUUCAAACAUUUUGUACAAAAAUGUUUUAAUCUACCCAUUUUCAAUGGUCAAAAGCCAAAUGUAGGUCACUUUUUGAACAGCUGAUAGUUGUUUAAAGAGGAAUGUCUGAAGAACAAAUAAUACUGAAAAUAUAAAUAGUAUCUUGUUUCCCUCUUAUCAAAACAAUUGAAUACAACACACUUAUGAGUGCCAAAAAAAAAGAAAAUCCUUUUUUCUUUUUACAAGUCUGUAAUUCAAGAAGUGUUAAAGAUAUCUUACAUUUCAAAAGGAAAGUUUAUUAAGAAUGAGAAUCUCGAAGGAUAUUAAAAUAUCUUGAAUACUUUGGAAAAAGGGUAACACUUUACAAUAAUGUUCCAUUAGUUAAUGUUAGUUAAUGUAUUAACCAACAUGAACAAACAAUGAACAAUACAUUUAUUGCAGUAUUUAUUCAGUAUUUGAUAAUGUAGUUAAUCAAAAUACACUUGUUCACUGAUAGUUCAUGUUAGUUCACAGUGCAUUAACUAAUGUUAACAAAGACAACUUUUGAUUUUAAUAAUGCAUUAGUAAAUGUUGAAAUUAACAUUAACUAAGAUUAAUAGAUGCUGUAAAAGUAUUGUUCAUUCUUAGUUCAUGUUAACUGAAAUAGUUAACUAAUGUUAACUAAUGAACCUUAUAGUAAAGUGUUACUGGAAAAAGAUUAUUUAUGGCACUCAGACAGGUACGCGCUAUGCAACUGUGUUGAUAGAAAAUAACAAGAUACAGUUCUAGUUAUUAUUUGUUCUUCAGAUAUUCUUCUUUAAAAAAAAAAAUCAGCUGUAUGCAAAAUGACCCACUU